AACGAACGCUGGCGGCAGGCCUAACACAUGCAAGUCGAACGCCGUAGCAAUACGGAGUGGCAGACGGGUGAGUAACACGUGGGAACGUACCCUUCGGUUCGGAAUAACUCAGGGAAACUUGAGCCAAUACCGGAUACGUCCGAGAGGAGAAAGAUUUAUCGCCGAGGGAUCGGCCCGCGUCUGAUUAGCUUGUUGGUGAGGUAACGGCUCACCAAGGCGACGAUCAGUAGCUGGUCGAGAGGAUGAUCAGCCACAUUGGGACUGAGACACGGCCCAAACUCCUACGGGAGGCAGCAGUGGGGAAUAUUGGACAAUGGGCGCAAGCCUGAUCCAGCCAUGCCGCGUGAGUGAUGAAGGCCCUAGGGUUGUAAAGCUCUUUUACCCGGGAAGAUAAUGACUGUACCGGGAGAAUAAGCCCCGGCUAACUUCGUGCCAGCCGCCGCAGU
rnacentral:rRNA from 1 species